rnacentral:rRNA from 1 species
AACGUAGGACGCAAGCGUUAUCCGGAGUUACUGGGCGUAAAGCGCGGGCAGGCGGCCCGAUGCGUCUGAUGUGAAAUCUCCUCGCUCAACGGGGAGAGGCCAUUGGAAACGGACGGGCUGGAGGGCAGUAGAGGUAGGCGGAAUUCCGGGUGGAGUGGUGAAAUGCGUAGAGAUCCGGAGGAACACCAGUGGCGAAGGCGACUACCUGGCCUGUUCUUGACGCUGAGGCGCGAAAGCUAGGGGAGCAAACGGG